AAUAGAUACCCAGGUAGUCCACGCCGUAAACGAUGAGUGCUAAGUGUUAGAGGGUUUCCGCCCUUUAGUGCUGAAGUUAACGCAUUAAGCACUCCGCCUGGGGAGUACGGCCGCAAGGCUGAAACUCAAAGGAAUUGACGGGGGCCCGCACAAGCGGUGGAGCAUGUGGUUUAAUUCGAAGCAACGCGAAGAACCUUACCAGGUCUUGACAUCCUCUGACAACCCUAGAGAUAGGGCUUCUCCUUCGGGAGCAGAGUGACAGGUGGUGCAUGGUUGUCGUCAGCUCGUGCCGUGAGAUGUUGGGUUAAGUCCCGCAACGAGCGCAACCCUUGAUCUUAGUUGCCAUCAUUAAGUUGGGCACUCUAAGGUGACUGCCGGUGACAAACCGGAGGAAGGUGGGGAUGACGUCAAAUCAUCAUGCCCCUUAUGACCUGGGCUACACACGUGCUACAAUGGACGGUACAAAGAGCUGCAAGACCGCGAGGUGGAGCUAAAUCUCAUAAAACCGUUCUCAGUUCGGA
rnacentral:rRNA from 1 species